UCUAGUUAGAUCAUAAACCGAGACUUGAGUUCAAAUUAACACAUCCAAUAGUCUCCAACAAUUAUAAGAAAAAUUCAGUAGCCCAAUCUGAAUAUACAAAUUCAAGUAAUUAGAAUUCUCCACCAAUUUGCUUACUAGCCUUAAAAAUUUAACCCACCAAUAGAAAUACAUCUAUUUAAAAUAUCCAAACAUAUCAAUACCAAAUAUAAUCUCAUAUACAGAUUUAACCUCGAGGAACAAUCUGCUUUAAUAUUAUGAAAAAUCGUUCUUAGCUCACUCCAAUGCUAUAAUAGAUCCAUGCACAAACUCUACUCUAAUAAUUACCAACAAAACCAAAAGUACUAUUACAUCUGCACCCAUAUCAUGUUUGAACUUUCAG
rnacentral:lncRNA from 1 species